rnacentral:rRNA from 1 species
GUCUAUGGCCAUGCCACCCUGAAUGCGCCCGAUCUCGUCUCAUCUCGGAAGCUAAGCAAGGCUGGGCCUGGUUAGUACUUUGAUGGAAUACCAGGUGCUGUAGGCA